ACAUUUUAUUUCUGACGUACAGUUUCACAACUUUCAAACAGUAAUACAUGUAUUGCAGUAAUGCGAAAACAACACAAAUUAAAAAGCUUUUCAAUGAAUAUGCAGAAUUUAAAGACUGGAACCUCACCGAGACACUUCAUUAAGACGUGACAACCCAGUGGAAAUUCCUGAACUCUCCUCAGGCUAUCUCAAUCUUUGCACACACAGGAAAUCGCAGCUUUCUUACGAGGUGAUGUCACUGUUACGCACAUUAAUCUAGCACGGCUUUCAUAUAGGGAGGCCAGCAGCUCACUCAGCAGAGGAGAGCAAGAGAAGCAGACUGCAGCCGUGGGACUCAGCUCCGCCUGGGAUGAAGACUUUCUCAGCGCUUAGCAAUAGAAAAAACAUCUGAAACCACUCAACGACUAAAAAAAAUAUAUAAAUAUCAGCGGAUUUCUCUGCAACUGCCGCGUUGGUUGGAAACAACUCCAGCCGACUUCAAAGAAAGGAGCAGCAGAGGAAAAACACCGCCGUUCAGCCGGGCCUGUGCCGAUUGUCCUCUUCCAUUGGAACCAUGGUGGCAGCAGUCCUUAAGUUGUAUUUCAUUGGAACCGCGCUGACUGUCCUUGCAGUCAUUUAUGGAAUAGUGGACUCAUUUGGUGGUCUGAUGUAUGUCCAAGACCGAAACUACAUACUGGAGCUGGACCACCAGACACAGAGGGAGCUCUCGUCAAGCAUCCACCAGCAACGCUCGUCUGUGACUAAAAACAUCGGCUCAUAGUGGAGAGAGCCUUGGACGUGAUUUACAGUAAUGUCUGCUGAAUGGACACGUUGGACACUGUGGCAACGGAUCAAGAGACUGUGAGACUUCAUGCUACCAUUGCUGAGUUUCGAUAUCAUUAUUGUGUCUAACUUCUCAUACAUGUUGUGUGCUUUGGAAAAGCUCAACACAGGACUGUUGUUGAUUAUGGAUGCCUAAUCCCAUAACAUGUCUGUUCCACUUUGUAUGAUCUGCUGUCAGACACAGUAGCAGCUACUCUGAAUCAAAGCAAUCACAAAUCUGACCCCAAAUGUGGCAGCACUACUGAACCAUCUGAUUUGCACUAACAAUGAGGAAGUUUUGUCCUUUCUUUUUGUCCUGUCUUUUUUUUUCUUUUUUAAUAAAAGGAAUUGAAUUAAAUGGAA